GGGGACCCCCUCAGCCUGUACAUGGUUCCGUCUCUGGGCAGCGCCUCUCUCUUCCAGCAGCAUUAGUUUACUGGCAUUACUUCGUUUCUCCAUUACCUCUGAAGAUAUAUUCUGCCACACUUCGUGCAUUGGUCAAUGGUCAGACCUCCAUAUGAUGAUGAUGAUGGUAUUAGUGAUGAAGAUGAAGUAGAGCAAGAGCUUGAUCUUGAUGUAAGGAAAAUGUCUAUCACACCCAGGAAUCCAUUGAGUUAAUGGAUUUCGAAUGGAUUAGAUGAACCUAGAGGAAUGCGCAAGAAUCAGACCCUCGACAAGUCCAGAGUCUUUGUGAUGUCAAAGUCCUUUUUGUCUUUGACUCUGCUGGAAGAGAUGAAAACAAAGUCUACCUUGCUUGUGCUAAACAGAAGAACAUGCUUCUAAAUAUGAAAUAUUAUAGCUCAGUUCACCUCGAAUGUGUGCUGCUCAGCUGACUGGAAGUAAAAGUUUAGCCAGCCAUUACAAUUUUGGGCUUUUUAUUUGUGAUCUAUGACUUUUUCUUUUCUUCUACUGCAAAGAAUUGUAAAAUUAAUUAAAGAAGCUGAUUAGUACAUGUCCGAUAUGAAUUUUGAGUUGGUCCAUAUUGAUUGUAAUAGAAGAAAUACAGAGGAGUGGAUAACUUCAUUGUGAUUCACUGGAUCUCCAGCUUGUACAUUUUUUGCAUUUAUGAUAAGAUUUCUUCUUAGGUCUUUGGGGGCCUUUUUGACAUAA